CCGUAUGCUCUGAGUUUAAAACGAUGUCUGCUAGAGUUUGGUUUGUUUGACCCUCCAAAUCUCAUGUUGAAAUUGGAUUUAAAUAACACCCAGGAUAAAUAUUCUCAUAGUAUUAGCAUUAUUAUGUAUCAUAUUUUCAGAGAUUACUAUAAACUAUCAUCAAAGAAUAAGUUACCACUCUGUCAAAGGAGAUAGAUUUUGUUCAGUUUAGUGGUGACUAGCAAAUGUGAGUAAAGGAAAAAUAUGGGAAGUUUUGUCUUAACACACAAUUACUACAAGGAACAAGCCAUAUGCUGCUUUGGGUCAGUUGGGUUUAUACACAAAGAACUGCCUGUUUAUGAGCCAGGUAUCAACCCCAAGUGAUCUUAACUUCUUCUGUCUCAAGGAAAUGUCUACAUUUUUUCUCAGCAGAAGCAUAAAAGAAAUGCAAUCCUCUCCUCUUUGUAUUCUGAGAGGAACUGAUGUUAUCUGGAGAAAUAUGUUUCUAAGAGAUUAGCAGUGAUUCAUGACCAUCAGAGGCUCAAGCGUGUAGAACAACUUGAUCAUUUGGGAAGAUCCAAACUGUAAUGCUUUAUCUUAAAGUUUACUUUCAGAAUCACACAUCUCCAGGAUGGAUGU
rnacentral:lncRNA from 10 species